rnacentral:rRNA from 1 species
AUGAAGGAUGGGUGGAGCCGGAUGCUGCAGAUUGUGGGCGCGUCGCACCGGGCAACUGUUGGUGGUGGCGGAGGGGGAGUAGGGGCAAGGCGCUGCGGGAAGUCACAGGAGGCAAGCGGAACAGCUGCCCCAGAUCUGCCACCAGGGGGCACUCCGCCACCGAGAGACGCGCCGCCAGAGCGCCAGGCUGACAGGUGUGAGGGGGGUCGCGCGCAAUCGGCCGGGCCGGAGACGAGGAGAGGACCCACCGCCACUGCCACGGAUCUGCCACCAGGCGGCGCUGAGGGGAGGUGCCUAGAGAUGGGGUGCUUGGUGGCUUGGUGGCGGCGCGCCCGGGGGAAUCUGCCCGUGCUUCGGCGCUCGGCCCUGUGCUAUAUCAGUGAAGAAAGAGAUGCAGAUAGGGACGAUAGUAGAUGGAGCGAGAGAAUAGAAGAGAGAAGCGAUGGAGUUUAUUUUCUUGCUUUUGACAAAAGAGUGGUGGAGGUGGAGACGAAUGGUAAGUUUCGAGGUGGAGGUGGAGGUGUACGUGUCAGCCAGUGGCAAAAAAAAAUAGUGAAAGAAAAAUAUGCAUGA